CGAGGGGCUGCGGCCCCGUCAGGCGCAGGGCUGAACCCGGGGCCGAAGGAUGCGCGCCGCGAUGCCGAGGCUCGGAACUAUCCAAACGAGUCGAGCAAACACCGGGUCACCGCAGUGCCCCAAGACACUCCACAUGGCCCAAAAGCACGGCAUCCCGACAUUCCACGCGCACCAGAAUAUCUCCCCUGGAUCUGUAUGCGGUUCCUUUGAACGAGUCCAAUAAGCGCCCUGCUAGGAAGUGCCUCUCCUCCGUGCGGCCUCGCUCAGAAGAAGACAGACAUCUGAUCCACAUUAAACACAGAACCCCUCUCUCAUCCUUACGUGCGCUUCUUACUGAGGUCUCUGUCAAAACUACACCACUU
rnacentral:lncRNA from 1 species